ACAUCCCAAACCCAAUGUGAACGUUACCAAACUGUUGCCUCGGCGGGAUCUCUGCCCCGGGUGCGUCGCAGCCCCGGACCAAGGCGCCCGCCGGAGGACCAACCAAAACUCUUAUUGUAUACCCCCUCGCGGGUUUUUUUAUAAUCUGAGCCUUCUCGGCGCCCCUCGUGGGCGUUUCGAAAAUGAAUCAAAACUUUCAACAACGGAUCUCUUGGUUCUGGCAUCGAUGAAGAACGCAGCGAAAUGCGAUAAGUAAUGUGAAUUGCAGAAUUCAGUGAAUCAUCGAAUCUUUGAACGCACAUUGCGCCCGCCAGUAUUCUGGCGGGCAUGCCUGUCCGAGCGUCAUUUCAACCCUCGAACCCCUCCGGGGGGUCGGCGUUGGGGAUCGGCCCUCCCUCUGCGGGGGCCGUCUCCGAAAUACAGUGGCGGUCUCGCCGCAGCCUCUCCUGCGCAGUAGUUUGCACACUCGCACCGGGAGCGCGGCGCGUCCACAGCCGUUAAACACCCCAACUUUCUGAAAUGUUGACCUCGGAUCAGGUAGGAAUACCCGCUGAACUUAAGCAUAUCAAUAAGCGGAGGA
rnacentral:rRNA from 1 species